rnacentral:lncRNA from 1 species
GGUGAGACAUGCACAGAAGUGAUAGAUAUGUAUUAUAAAUAUAGAAAAUUGAAUAUUUUAAUAAAAAAAAUCUGUAUCCUAGACCCAAGCGCCUGUGAUGAAAUGAUGAAAUUGUUUGUGAGUUCUAAAAAUUAAUCGCUAUUCCAUUGCGAUUGUGGCACAGGAGCUUGCCUCAGAAAAAAUCCAUUAUACAUUACGGUAUUUUAUGAGACAAAUGCCUCUGGAGUCUUGUCUGCCAUUUAAAUGAUUACGGUUCUUUAUGAAAGAACAUUUUACGUACAGCAAUAAUGUGAAUUUGUUG